rnacentral:rRNA from 1 species
GGGGAAUUUUGCGCAAUGGGGGCAACCCUGACGCAGCAACGCCGCGUGCGGGAAGAAGGCCUUCGGGUUGUAAACCGCUUUCAGCGGGGACGAUAAUGACGGUACCCGCAGAAGAAGCUCCGGCUAACUACGUGCCAGCAGCCGCGGUAAUACGUAGGGAGCGAGCGUUAUCCGGAUUCAUUGGGCGUAAAGCGCGCGUAGGCGGCUCGGGAAGCGGAACCUCUAACCUUGGGGCUCAACCUCAAGCCGGGUUCCGAACUCCCGGGCUCGAGUCAGGUAGGGGCAGGCGGAAUUCCCGGUGUAGCGGUGAAAUGCGCAGAUAUCGGGAGGAACACCGAUGGCGAAGGCAGCCGGCUGGGCCUAAAGACUGACGCUGAGGUGCGAAAGCGUGGGGAGCGAAC